rnacentral:rRNA from 1 species
AACACAUGCAAGUCGAGGGGUAUAAGUCUUCGGAUUUAGAGACCGGCGCACGGGUGCGUAACGCGUAUGCAAUCUGCCUUUCACAGAGGGAUAGCCCAGAGAAAUUUGGAUUAAUACCUCAUAGUAUUACGACCCGGCAUCGGGAUGUAAUUAAAGUCACAACGGUGAAAGAUGAGCAUGCGUCCCAUUAGCUAGUUGGUAAGGUAACGGCUUACCAAGGCAACGAUGGGUAGGGGUCCUGAGAGGGAGAUCCCCCACACUGGUACUGAGACACGGACCAGACUCCUACGGGAGGCAGCAGUGAGGAAUAUUGGACAAUGGGCGCAAGCCUGAUCCAGCCAUGCCGCGUGCAGGAUGACGGUCCUAUGGAUUGUAAACUGCUUUUGUACGAGAAGAAACACUGAUUCGUGAAUCANCCUGACGGUAUCGUAAGAAUAAGGAUCGGCUAACUCCGUGCCAGCAGCCGCGGUAAUACGGAGGAUCCAAGCGUUAUCCGGAAUCAUUGGGUUUAAA